rnacentral:rRNA from 1 species
UACGUAGGGUGCAAGCGUUGUCCGGAAUUAUUGGGCGUAAAGAGCUCGUAGGCGGCUUGUCGCGUCGGAUGUGAAAGCCCGGGGCUUAACUCCGGGUCUGCAUUCGAUACGGGCAGGCUAGAGUGUGGUAGGGGAGAUCGGAAUUCCUGGUGUAGCGGUGAAAUGCGCAGAUAUCAGGAGGAACACCGGUGGCGAAGGCGGAUCUCUGGGCCAUUACUGACGCUGAGGAGCGAAAGCGUGGGGAGCGAACAGG